UAUGAACGCUGGCGGCAGGCUUACACAUGCAAGUCGAGCGGUAACAUUUCUAGCUUGCUAGAAGAUGACGAGCGGCGGACGGGUGAGUAACGCGUAGGAAUCUGCCUAGUAGUGGGGGACAACAUGUGGAAACGCAUGCUAAUACCGCAUACGCCCUACGGGGGAAAGGAGGGGAUCUUCGGACCUUUCGCUAUUAGAUGAGCCUGCGUGAGAUUAGCUAGUUGGUGGGGUAAAGGCCUACCAAGGCGACGAUCUCUAGCUGGUCUGAGAGGAUGAUCAGCCACACUGGGACUGAGACACGGCCCAGACUCCUACGGGAGGCAGCAGUGGGGAAUAUUGGACAAUGGGCGCAAGCCUGAUCCAGCCAUGCCGCGUGUGUGAAGAAGGCCUUAGGGUUGUAAAGCACUUUCAGGAGUGAGGAAGGGCGUAUAGUUAAUACCUGUAUGUUUUGACGUUAACUCCAGAAGAAGCACCGGCUAACUCUGUGCCAGCAGCCGCGGUAAUACAGAGGGUGCGAGCGUUAAUCGGAAUUACUGGGCGUAAAGCGCGCGUAGGCGGUUUGUUAAGUCGGAUGUGAAAUCCCAGCGCUCAACCUUGGAAUGG
rnacentral:rRNA from 1 species